AACCUAGCACACCUGCGGUGUGUACCUGCGGAAGGAUCAUUAAUGAGAUUUGUCUUGUCCACGUCCGUUGGUAACCCCAAUGGCGGGACAGAUGACCCUCCCACCCUUUGUUUAUUUGACCUUUUUGUUGCUUCGGCGAGUUAUGCCCUCACGGGUGUUGAAAUACUUGUAUCAAGAACUCGUCGAUGGCCUCAUAUCAAACUCUUGUUUAUCAAACCAUGUCGUCUAAAAACUUUGUGA
rnacentral:misc_RNA from 1 species